rnacentral:rRNA from 1 species
UCCGGUUGAUCCUGCCAGAGGUCACUGCUAUCGGUGUUCGCCUAAGCCAUGCGAGUCAUAUGUUCUUCGUGAACAUGGCGUACUGCUCAGUAACACGUGGAUAACCUGCCCUUGGGACCGGCAUAACCCCAGGAAACUGGGGAUAAUUCCGGAUAAACCGUAUCUGCUGGAAUGCUUUAUGGUUCAAAUGGAUUCGUCCGCCCAAGGAUGGGUCUGCGGCCUAUCAGGUAGUAGCGGGUGUAAUGUACCUGCUAGCCUACGACGGGUACGGGUUGUGAGAGCAAGAGCCCGGAGAUGGAUUCUGAGACAUGAAUCCAGGCCCUACGGGGCGCAGCAGGCGCGAAAACUUUACAAUGCGGGCAACCGUGAUAAGGGGACACCGAGUGCCAGCAACAAUUGUUGGCUGUCCAUGUGCUUAAAUUGCAUGUGUUAGCAAGGGCCGGGCAAGACCGGUGCCAGCCGCCGCGGUAACACCGGCGGCCCGAGUGGUGAUCGUUUUUAUUGGGUCUAAAGGGUCCGUAGCCGGUUUAGUCAGUCCUCCGGGAAAUCUGCCAGCUUAACUGGUAGGCUAUCGGGGGAUACUGCUAGACUUGGAACCGGGAGAGGUAAGAGGUACUACAGGGGUAGGAGUGAAAUCUUGUAAUCCCUGUGAGACCACCUGUGGCGAAGGCGUCCUACCAGAACGGGUUCGACGGUGAGGGACGAAAGCUGGGGGCACGAACCGGAUUAGAUACCCGGGUAGUCCCAGCUGUAAACGAUGCUCGCUAGGUGUCAGGCACGGUGCGACCGUGUUUGGUGCCGCAGGGAAGCCGUGAAGCGAGCCACCUGGGAAGUACGGCCGCAAGGCUGAAACUUAAAGGAAUUGGCGGGGGAGCACAACAACGGGUGGAGCCUGCGGUUUAAUUGGAUUCAACGCCGGG